rnacentral:rRNA from 1 species
CGGUUCUACAAGUCUUCCGUUAAAUCCACCUGCUCAACAGAUGGGCUGCGGAAGAUACUAUGGAGCUAGGAGGCGGGAGAGGCAAGCGGUACUCGAUGGGUAGGGGUAAAAUCCGUUGAUCCAUUGAAGACCACCAGUGGCGAAGGCGGCUUGCCAGAACGCGCUCGACGGUGAGGGAUGAAAGCUGGGGGAGCAAACCGGAUUAGAUACCCGGGUAGUCCCAGCUGUAAACGAUGCAGACUCGGUGAUGAGUUGGCUUUAUGCCAACUCAGUGCCGCAGGGAAGCCGUUAAGUUUGCCGCCUGGGGA